CAAGACCAAUCCCUAGAGUGCUCCUCGGAGGUUGAAUAGGGAAGAAGCAGAAGAGGAGGAGGAAGGUCCAGUGAGAUAGAAGGAAAACCAGGAGUAUGUGUGACAGAAGCCAAAGGCAGACAUUUUUACGAAAGAGGGAGUCUAAUUGUAUCAGAUUUGAAUUUGGCUGUAAAUAAUGGAAAAACCUAUUACAGUGGUUUAACCAAAGAAUGGGUUUAUUGUGGUCAUAACAAUAGGUCUAGAAGAGGCCAUCCCUGGCUGGACUCCUAGUGCAAGUUACCUCUGACUUCCUCCUCUGCUGUGUUUAGGGUGGAGCUUCACAUUUCCAAGACAGUGGUGGCAUCUCUAGGCUUUGAUUGUGUCUUUCAUUCAGAAGAAUGAGAAAUGGUAAAGAGCAAAGGUCAAAGGGUAAAAGGUCAGCUAAUGGUGGUUCCUUUUCGAAAAACUUCCUCAAAAGCACCUUCCAGUCACUUCUGCCUACAUAUCAUUGGCCAGGCUACAUGGCCACCUCUAGAGGCAUGAGAGAAAUCUGUGGGCUGGGAAGAGGGAAGAAUGAGUAUAAGAUAGGCAGUUAAAAGCAUCUGUUGUUGUAAUUGUUAACCAUAGAAUUUUUGUAAAGAAAAAGGCAUCAAGAGGUCUUUCAUUCAGGAUCACUUCUUCCAAGGAGGUUGUGGCUUUAAAAAUGAACUUUACUCCUUUUUAAAAGACUUUGAUGAUUGGUGGUCUAUAAUCUCUGUAGAAGCUCUUAUAACAUCUGAUUUAUAUGACUUAUGAAGCUUUUCCCUUCAGUCUCAGAAUUUCCUCUCUGAAGCAAUUUAAUCUCAUUUCUUUUUGUUCACUCUUCUGGAGAGAGGGAGUAAUACUAGUCAGCAUCAAUCAAUUGUCUGGACCCUUGAAAUAGUUUGAAUGAGCAAUUCUCCAGUGAAUUAGUGGAAAAAGGCAUUGGGAGAUGAAAUACAGGUGUAAUUCUGUUAGAGCUUAUUGAGGAUAUUAGUGAAAUACAAAGUGAGGGAAAGCAUACUCGUUUGUAUUGGUAAAGAACUCGUAUGAAUUUUCAUACAAAUUGGAGAGGGUGUUAUAUAUGGUCUUUAUUUAUGAGGAUGGAACUUUGAAUAUAUAAGAUGGAAAUGUAAUAAAUACUUCAAAACAUUGCAGAAAGAUGAUUUCAAGGCAAGAGAAAAUUGUUGGUUGUGCUGAAGUGUCACCCUCAGGAGGAGAGAACACAGUGCUUCAGCACUUCUGUGCCUGAAUUAACUCAAGCUGCCAUGUGUCAGUCUCUUUUGACAGUUGGUAUUUUUCUGGGUUGGUGGGUUUUUAUCUCCUGUGUGUGCUCAUUGGCAGGACGAGGGCUAGUAUUGAGCAACCAUUACAAGAGAGAAACAUUUUAAAAUGUCAUCUUUUGCUGAAUUUUCCUAGUAUGCCCUAAAAGGUGGAAACAAAUGUCCUUUGAAAUUCAUUUUUUUUUUCACAUGCUAUUCUGGCCAAUCUAUCAGGCUAGAAAAUUGCUAUUCUCUCCUUCCCUCGCCACCAGUGAUCCAAGCUUUAAUUUUGGAACUUUUAUAAAAUGUUAUCAAAUGGUUCCACAAUCCCAGAAAUUUCUUCUGCUCAGUAUGUGUUACUCUCUCUCAUUUCCCAACAUACACACACAUGCACACACACUGCUGAUGCUGGUGAUGUUAAUCUUAACUUGGAACCCUCAUGUUACACACACACACACACACACACACACACACACACACACACACACACAGAGUUCAGGGUAGAGUUGAGUGAAAGUGCACCUCUGCCAGGUAAACUGGCUGUCUCCUGUUAAUGAGAAUUGCUUACAGUAGAUCCUCAUUAGAAGGCCAAUGAAUAGUUGAUGUUUUUAUUUUUCAUUGAUUUGAUAGCAUGAAAUAAAUGCCUGAGUAUUUGGAAAUAUAAAAGGGCUUUAAUCUUUAGUGUUCUACAGAUUGAUUUUCAAAAUUGAUAUUGUAUCUUCAUGGCCCAGAGAAGGUGAUAUUCGAGUUGCUGUGGAAAGAUUUGGAUAGGAGACAAGGGAAAAAGAGUACUUCAAGCCAAGGAUGCAAUUGCACUGUAUACACAGAAAAUGGCAGAUAAACUGGUGAGGCUAGUGCAUUUUGGGACAUGAAGUUCGAAAUAUACUUCGGAACCAUGUUUCAGAAGGCCUUGGAUACCAGACUAUGGGGUUGAGUUUUAUUCUUUAGGCAAGAAGAUUUUUGAAGAGGGAAAUGAUCUGAUUUAUGAACUGGGAAAAUAACUUAAAAAGUAGUAAAUGCAAUUUUUAGGGUAUAGGAUUGUCAUAUGUGUAUAGAGUUCUGAAGUUUACAUAGAUUUGUUUUGUGUUGUCCCCAUAGGAAAGACAUAAACCUCAGAUUAAUUCAACUCCUCUGAAAAGUUUUUAAAAGUUAAAAUGACAGAAAAUGCAAUUAAGAGUAACUUAGAAAACACCAAAAGUUACCUCCCAAAGACAAUCAUUCUUAAAAAUUUGGUGCAUUACUUUCCAUUCCUUUUGGUACACAUAUUCAUCUUUCCAUCUAUUCACUCACUUAUACAACAAAUAUUUAUAGCUACUAUGGUAGACUAUAUAGAUAUAAGAUAGAUAAGACAAA
ensembl:lncRNA